rnacentral:rRNA from 1 species
GCGCACCAGGCGAGAAAACUUCACAAUGUGCGAAAGCACGAUGAGGGAAUCCCAAGUGCUUGCUCGUAAGAGUAAGCUGUUUCUCUGUCUAAAACGCAGAGAGAGUAAGGGCUGGGUAAGACGGGUGCCAGCCGCCGCGGUAAUACCUGCAGCUCGAGUGGUGGCCGCUAUUAUUGGGCCUAAAACGUCCGUAGCCGGUUUAUUAAAUGCCUGGGUAAAUCGGACCGCUUAACGGUUCGAAUUCCGGGUAGACUGAUAAACUUGAGACCGGGAGAAGCUAGAGGUACUCCUGGGGUAGAGGUGAAAUUCUGUAAUCCUAGGGGGACCACCAGUGGCGAAGGCGUCUAGCUAGAACGGGUCUGACGGUGAGGGACGAAGCCCUGGGGCGCAAACGGGAUUAGAUACCCCCGUAGU